CAUAUGCAGGCUGAAGCAUGACCGUAAGGACAUGUGGACAGUAUACGAGUGAGAAUGUUGGCAUGAGUAGCGAGACGUGGGUGAGAAUCCCACGGGCCGUAAACCCAAGGUUUCCAGGGGAAGGUUCGUCCGCCCUGGGUUAGUCGGGACCUAAGCCGAGGCCGAAAGGCGUAGGUGAUGGACAACAGGUUGAUAUUCCUGUACCGCCAAUAAGCAUUUGAGAGAUGGAGUGACACAGUAGGAUAAGCUAACCGUACUGUUGGUUAUGUACGGCUAAGCAUUGAGGCAGUCUAAAUAGGCAAAUCCGUUUAGACAAUGCUAGGAUGUGAUGGGGAAGCCCUUCGGGGCGAAGUAGCUGAUUUCACACUGUCAAGAAAAGCUUCUAUCGAGUUUAAAGGCGCCCGUACCGUAAACCGACACAGGUGGGUGAGGAGAGUAUCCUAAGGCCAGCGAGAGAACUAUUGUUAAGGAACUCGGCAAAAUGACCCCGUAACUUAGGGAGAAGGGGUGCCUGUCUAUGACAGGCCGCAGAGAAUAGGCCCAAGCGACUGUUUACCAAAAACACAGGUUUCUGCUAAGUCGCAAGACGAUGUAUAGGAGCUGACGCCUGCCCGGUGCUGGAAGGUUAAGGGGAUCUGUUAGAGCAAUCGAAGCAGUGAACUUAAGCCCCAGUAAACGGCGGCCGUAACAAUAACGGUCCUAAGGUAGCGAAAUUCCUUGUCGGGUAAGUUCCGACCCGCACGAAAGGCGUAACGAUUUGGGCACUGUCUCAACAAUAGACUCGGUGAAAUUGUAAUCCCGGUGAAGAUGCCGGGUACCUGCGACAGGACGGAAAGACCCCAUGGAGCUUUACUGUAGCUUGAUGUUGGGUCUUGGUACUACAUGUACAGGAUAGGUGGGAGACUAUGAAGCAUGGACGCCAGUCUGUGUGGAGUCAUCCUUGGGAUACCACCCUUGUAGUACUGGGAUCCUAACCAUAGGCCUUGAAUCAGGUCUUGGAACACCGUCAGGUGGGCAGUUUGACUGGGGCGGUCGCCUCCUAAAAAGUAACGGAGGCGCUCAAAGGUUUCCUCAGCACGGUCGGAAAUCGUGCGAAGAGUGUAAAGGCAAAAGGAAGCUUGAUUGCAAGACAUACAGGUCGAGCAAGGACGAAAGUCGGACUUAGUGAUCCGGUGGUACCGCAUGGAAGGGCCAUCGCUCAACGGAUAAAAGCUACCCUGGGGAUAACAGGCUUAUCUCCCCCAAGAGUCCACAUCGACGGGGAGGUUUGGCACCUCGAUGUCGGCUCAUCACAUCCUGGGGCUGUAGUAGGUCCCAAGGGUUGGGCUGUUCGCCCAUUAAAGUGGUACGCGAGCUGGGUUCAGAACGUCGUGAGACAGUUCGGUCCCUAUCCGUCGCAGGCGUAGGAAAUUUGAGAAGACCUGUCCUUAGUACGAGAGGACCGGGAUGGACGUACCUCUGGUGUACCAGUUGUUCUGCCAAGGGCAUGGCUGGGUAGCUAUGUACGGAAUGGAUAAGCGCUGAAAGCAUCUAAGCGCGAAGCCAACUUCAAGAUAAGAUUUCCCACCGUAAGGGUAAGACCCCAGGAAGACUACCUGGUUGAUAGGUCGAAGGUGUAAGUGCAGUAAUGUAUUUAGCUUAUCGAUACUAAUAGGUCGAGGACUUGACCU
rnacentral:rRNA from 1 species